rnacentral:sRNA from 1 species
GACAGUCUUUAAAUCUUAUUUUUCAAAGUUAUAUUAGAAGAAGAAGCGGCUUCCUAAGCCCAGUACAAAUCUGCAAGUCUGGAUGAGAAAUUUGAGGGCCAGCUGAUAAAAUGUUCUGACUAUAUUGUUUUUGUGUCCAAAACAGAAAUUAAAAGGGUUUGACUUGGGUGUUUUCCCCGCUUUUAGGCAGUUGAGCAGUCUUAGGAUUUGUAGGCUGACCUGACUGUUGUUUUGGCAUCAGGUGGCUGCUUUGGGAUCCUUACGCAGGCCCUGGGAAGUGAGGACCCUGUUUCUCAGCCUCAUGGUGUUCUGUGUUGUAGGCUGCUGCAGUACACGUUCGUGGGGGACAUAUUUAUGGUUCCUGAUGAUCCUCUGGGAAGAAGUGGACCUCGAUUAGAGGAGUUUCUUCAGAAGGAAGUCUGUCUUAGAGAUAUGCAGCCCCUACUCAGUGCCCUGCCAAAUGUGGGCAUGUUUGACCCCAGCUUCAGAGUCCCUGGCACCCAGGCAGCCAGCACCAGCCACCAGC